rnacentral:lncRNA from 1 species
CUUUGCUGGCUCUCUACACUCAAACAGAAGCAACCGCAGGCAAUCCAUUGCUACUCAAGAGCUUGAGUUGGCUCGCCCACCAGAUGGCUCUAUUUAUAGCCGAAAGCUCCACCUACCACCGGCCCAAGAGUUACUGUGUACCCGUGAUCAAUGAGUCUGACGACUCCUGACUCCACCCAUGUGACUGCACUCAUGCUGCAACAGACAAAGGAGCACAGUACACCCGUACCUCCGCAACGAACGAAAGAG